CAUGCAAGUCGAACGAGAUUUUCGGAUCUAGUGGCGCACGGGUGAGUAACGCGUGGGAACCUACCUUUUAGUUCGGGACAACGUUUGGAAACGAACGCUAAUACCGUAUACGCCCUCCGGGGGAAAGGUCAGCCGCUAAAAGAGGGGCCCGCGUCUGAUUAGCUUGUUGGUAAGGUAAUGGCUUACCAAGGCUACGAUCAGUAGCUGGUCUGAGAGGAUGAUCAGCCACACUGGGACUGAGACACGGCCCAGACUCCUACGGGAGGCAGCAGUGGGGAAUAUUGGACAAUGGAGGCAACUCUGAUCCAGCAAUGCCGCGUGUGUGAUGAAGGCCCUAGGGUUGUAAAGCACUUUCAACGGUGAAGAUGAUGACGGUAGCCGUAGAAGAAGCCCCGGCUAACUUCGUGCCAGCAGCCGCGGUAAUACGAAGGGGGCGAGCGUUAUUCGGAAUUAUUGGGCGUAAAGGGCUCGCAGGCUGCUUGAACAGUUAGACGUGAAAUCCCCGGGCUCAACCUGGGAACUGCGUUUAAUACUAGCAAGCUAGAGAGAUAGAGAGGAAAGUGGAACUCCCAGUGUAGAGGUGAAAUUCGUAGAUAUUGG
rnacentral:rRNA from 1 species